CAGUAGCCGCGGUAAAACGGAGGGAGCUAGCGUUGUUCGGAAUUACUGGGCGUAAAGCGCACGUAGGCGGCUUUGUAAGUUAGAGGUGAAAGCCUGGAGCUCAACUCCAGAACUGCCUUUAAGACUGCAUCGCUUGAAUCCAGGAGAGGUGAGUGGAAUUCCGAGUGUAGAGGUGAAAUUCGUAGAUAUUCGGAAGAACACCAGUGGCGAAGGCGGCUCACUGGACUGGUAUUGACGCUGAGGUGCGAAAGCGUGGGGAGCAAACAGGAUUAGAUACCCGCGUAGUCCCUGUCUCUUAUAC
rnacentral:rRNA from 1 species